AGAAGAAUGCAGUUGAGGUAUAUGGCAGGGUAUUUUAGAACAGCCAAAAGGUUCCUUUUUGAAGUCACAAUGACCUUGAAUACACUUUGCCUUCAAAAGACAGACACAUUCUAUUCUAGAAAAACUCACCUAUAUUGACCAGUUUUUGCUCAGUGAAAUGUUAACAGCUGGCUUACUACUAGGAAUCAAUAUGAAAUUACUAUCAGGUCAUCAAUGAAAGGAUCCCACUUGGGAGCGGGGGAGGAGUUUCAGUGAAUUUAGUGCUCAGUCACAAAUGCACAGCACUCAAUCAACAUAGCUAAGACACACAAUAAUUUAUAACAAUAAUAACAAACAUGCACACACACACGUUUCCAAGCUUUUCCUCUUCAUUAGGCUGGCAUUGUUCAUUGCUAAUAGUACCCUGAUUAGUUUUCAGUUCUCUCAAAAGACUUAACAUGUAGUCAAACGUUUAUAGGUCCUAAAAGAAAUACUGCAACCAUAUUAUCACAUUGAGGCAUGCCAAUCAUGUCGAAACGGAGAUUCAGUUUGCCCAAGUCUCCAAGAGCUGAUAGGAAACUGUGAGCUGUGGUGCAGGAAAGUAAAUCUUACCUCAGCCCUGAGCUCACGAAGUGGCAAGCCACUAAAAUUCAACCAGCCCCCACAAUAAGGAGACAAGAAUACUAGUCUCCCUGGGACUUCUGGGGGAACCAUGAAUGGCGACAGAGUGAAGAGCCUUAACCACCAGGGAAGGCUCAUUCAUCAAGAGGGGUUUAGGGGAGAGCACAAGGGCGCUGUGCACCCCAAAAGAAGCUCAAAAGGAAAUUUUGAGUGCUGAAGUUUUCGGCAGCACCAGAAGCAAACUCUCCUGUCUGCCCCCCCUCCCCCGAGCCGAAAGACAAGGCGGGAGGGGACAGGAUUUAGACGCGGCGUGAAGAAAAACUCCAUCAACUCCCUGAUGAGAAGCCUAAAACUCCAGCCUGGAUGUGGUAACCUUCUCCAUAUAAUUUAAAGCCCGUAUUGCAUAAAACAACUUUAAUUGGACUUAAGUGGAAAGUAGAAUAAUUGGGCGCUGUGAAGGGAGAAAUUUAAGGAGGUCCACCCCUUCCUGGUGUAAGCUACCCUGCAUGGGGACAAUUUACAAGUAGUGAUAACAUUAAAAGAACUUUAUAAUUGGUAAAUAUCCAACUAAUUUUUUGCAGUAAAGAUAAAGUAGAAGACUGAAAAGACUGGAAGAAUAAGUUACAGUGUGCAAGGACAGAAGAGAAUCCUGCCUCCUGGUAAAGAAGGGAGGCGAGAGGACAUUUUAAUCUUCGCUCUGAUUUCUACGGGAACUCUUGCCGAACGAAAGUAUUAAUAGACAGAGAGAGCGAGGGACAUUGUCCGUACGUUUUCCUAUAUUUAAAAGUUUGGGAAGUGAAAUGAACAGUGUGUUUUAUUAGAAUUUUCAGCAGAAAGUGACUUUUAAAACAAUGGCUAUCAGGUUAAAACCGUGUGGUGAAGCUACAGACACUAAGUUUCAGUGUAAAACAUUGUUUCCUUUUUCCUGUGCAAUUGUGCUGAAGGAGAAUCGGCAAAAAGUGUAUUAGACUCAAUUGGGAGUGGAAGUACAAUGGUACCUUGGUUUACAACCAUAAUCCGUUCCAGAGGUCCAGUUGUAAAUCAAUACAGGUUGUAACCCAAGGCGCGCUUUCGCCAAUGGGGCCUCCCAAAAAAAAUUGUUCGUAAUCCAAAAAAAAUGGGUUGUAAUUAAGGGACAUGCACUUCCGGGUUUGACAUGGUUGUAAUCCAGAACAGUUGUAAUCCAAAGUGGUUGCAAACCAAGGUACCACUGUACUAUUUUUCCUUUCUUUUUUGUUUCUGGUAAUACAUUGCCCUGUUUGGUGGAG
rnacentral:lncRNA from 1 species